rnacentral:lncRNA from 1 species
AGUGCGGUGUCUUCUUAGCUGAGUUUCUGAGAUGCCUCAGUCCCAGGCAUCCUGAGCCCACACCACUGUGACCAUGUAGGCUCUGAGCAAACCGGGUCAAGCUACCAACCAGAGGACUCAGGGGGAGCCCUUGCUGCUGGUUUUGCCCCUUAUUGCUUUCUGGGACUAGAAGACUGUAGAAAACGAUAAAGGAAGACGUGAGGGUACAUCAGAACAUAGACCGUGUUUUGGAAGGCAGCCAAUGCAGACAAAUCAAGAAAUUAACAUUCAGUGUCUCCAUCAUCAUCACCAUCCAGAAGGGUAGGUGUAAUUUGCUGAACAUCCAUCUAGCUUUACCUUGGAAAUGAUGCAUUCAUGGCUCUGGAUUAGCAAGACAUGGAGGAUAGAACUGUGCUGGUAUUUACUGGUGGCCACCCUUCUCCUGUGCCUGAACAUCAUCUUGCUGCGCUGGGUGGGAUCUUCUCUUUCAGUGAAUAUUUUCCCCGGGCUAUGGCUCUUCAGUCAGCUGUCAACCUAAUGCUCAUCCAAAGAAAAGGAGCUUCUACCCACAGCUGAAGGGAUAAUUUGCUGGAUUAGUGAGAGGUGAUGCCAGACUGUAUAAAAAGUUUUCAUACAUUUUCAAGGGCAUUGUGGAUUCUAGUUUUGACUUUAAAACUCAUUCCCAAGUGAGAUAUUAUGCUGUAAAUCUAUCACUUAGUAUCCCAAACUGUAAUUCAGUGGAGUACAAUCUAUAAUUUUGUAAUACAUAUUAGGAGACAAUUACAGUGGGAGUGGGAAAACAGACCUGGCUAUUACCUUUAAGGGGCCAAUAAAUAUCUCAGUUGCACUUUUUAAUAGUUUAACCAAGAUAUUCAAAACAUUUCUUAAGUUGACACCAAAUUCUUCUGAAAACCUAAGACUUCCUAGAGUCUUGGUCUGGGACACUUCAGAUUUCGAUUUGAUGACACUGCUAAUUGAUGUAUGUAAUAAAUGCUAUGCUUACAUAGAGAAGCUGAGCUAUACAUUAGUGAAAAUAAUUUGUUCUAACUAGGAAAAUAUAUAUAUGAGCCCUUACUUGCUUUUCCUUAAGCAAAUAAAUAUUGUGC